rnacentral:tRNA from 1 species
GGUUGUGGCUCAGUGGUAGACUGCUUGCCUAACAUGCAUGAGGCACUGGGUUCAAUCCCAGGCACCA